GACGAACGCUGGCGGCGUGCUUAACACAUGCAAGUCGAACGGAAAGGCCCUGCUUUUGUGGGGUGCUCGAGUGGCGAACGGGUGAGUAACACGUGAGUAACCUGCCCUUGACUUUGGGAUAACUUCAGGAAACUGGGGCUAAUACCGGAUAGGAGCUCCUGCUGCAUGGUGGGGGUUGGAAAGUUUCGGCGGUUGGGGAUGGACUCGCGGCUUAUCAGCUUGUUGGUGGGGUAGUGGCUUACCAAGGCUUUGACGGGUAGCCGGCCUGAGAGGGUGACCGGCCACAUGGGGACUGAGAGACGGCCCAGACUCCUACGGGAGGCAACAGGGGGGAAUAUUGCACAAUGGGCGGAAGCCUGAUGCAGCAACGCCGGGUGCGGGAUGACGGCCUUCGGGUUGUAAACCGCUUUCGCCUGUGACGAAGCGUGAGUGACGGUAAUGGGUAAAGAAGCACCGGCUAACUACGU
rnacentral:rRNA from 1 species